rnacentral:rRNA from 1 species
GUAGGGUGCAAGCGUUGUCCGGAAUUAUUGGGCGUAAAGAGCUCGUAGGCGGUCUGUCGCGUCGGACGUGAAAACCCAGGGCUCAACCCUGGGCCGGCGUUCGAUACGGGCAGACUAGAGUUCGGUAGGGGAGACUGGAAUUCCUGGUGUAGCGGUGAAAUGCGCAGAUAUCAGGAGGAACACCGGUGGCGAAGGCGGGUCUCUGGGCCGAAACUGACGCUGAGGAGCGAAAGCGUGGGGAGCGAACAGGAUUAGAUACCCUGGUAGUCCACGCCGUAAACGUUGGGCGCUAGGUGUGGGGAACCUUCCACGUUCUCCGUGCCGCAGCUAACGCAUUAAGCGCCCCGCCUGGGGAGUACGGCCGCAAGGCUAAA